rnacentral:rRNA from 1 species
UGCAUAUCAAAAGCGGAGGAAAAGAAACCAACAGGGAUUGCCCUAGUAACGGCGAGUGAAGCGGCAACAGCUCAAAUUUGAAAUCUGGCUCUUUCAGAGUCCGAGUUGUAAUUUGCAGAGGGCGCUUUGGCUUUGGCAGCGGUCCAAGUUCCUUGGAACAGGACGUCACAGAGGGUGAGAAUCCCGUACGUGGUCGCUAGCUAUUGCCGUGUAAAGCCCCUUCGACGAGUCGAGUUGUUUGGGAAUGCAGCUCUAAAUGGGAGGUAAAUUUCUUCUAAAGCUAAAUAUUGGCCAGAGACCGAUAGCGCACAAGUAGAGUGAUCGAAAGAUGAAAAGCACUUUGGAAAGAGAGUCAAACAGCACGUGAAAUUGUUGAAAGGGAAGCGCUUGCAGCCAGACUUGCUUGCAGUUGCUCAUCCGGGCUUUUGCCCGGUGCACUCUUCUGUAGGCAGGCCAGCAUCAGUUUGGGCGGUGGGAUAAAGGUCUCUGUCACGUACCUUCCUUCGGGUUGGCCUUAUAGGGGAGACGCCAUACCACCAGCCUGGACUGAGGUCCGCGCAUCUGCUAGGAUGCUGGCGUAAUGGCUGUAAGCGGCCCGUCUUGAA